rnacentral:pre_miRNA from 1 species
ACAAGGUACAUAUCAGAGUGUUUCCCGUAUUCGAGUUUUGAAACCUCUGUAUAUACCUUUCAU